GAGAUUACAGUUGAGUCCAGCAAGUGAGAUAAGCUAGCAUUUCUCUAACUUCUUGGGGAGAAUGGCAUCGUUGAAGGCUGAGAAACCUGCUGGCAGUCAACUCUUUGGCCCCGUGAAGAAGGAGCCUGCCAAGGCUGGUGAUGGCCCAGCCAAAGCUCCAACCUCCAAGUCAGGUCCAAAGAAGCCCGCCCAGAAGUCUCAGGAGCCCAAAAAGAAGGCAAAAGGUGGGAAAUCAGCAGCGAAGCACUGACAGUUGGUGAAGGCAUAUAAGGGUGGUGUGAGGGGCUCAACUAUAUGAAGCCAUGAAAUAUUAGUUUGUGGUUGGAUGCUUUUUUAGGUGUUGUCAAUGUAACACUGCGCUUACUAAUUACUAGGGUUGGCCUAAUGAAAUAAAACAUAAAUAUUUGUCAACAA